rnacentral:rRNA from 1 species
ACACAUGCAGUCGAGCGGGGGAAGGUAGCUUGCUACCGGACCUAGCGGCGGACGGGUGAGUAAUGCUUAGGAAUCUGCCUAUUAGUGGGGGACAACAUCUCGAAAGGGAUGCUACUACCGCAUACGUCCUACGGGAGAAAGCAGGGGAUCUUCGGACCUUGCGCUAAUAGAUGAGCCUAAGUCGGAUUAGCUAGUUGGUAGGGUAAAGGCCUACCAAGGCGACGAUCUGUAGCGGGUCUGAGAGGAUGAUCCGCCACACUGGGACUGAGACACGGCCCAGACUCCUACGGGAGGCAGCAGUGGGGAAUAUUGGACAAUGGGGGGAACCCUGAUCCAGCCAUGCCGCGUGUGUGAAGAAGGCCUUUUGGUUGUAAAGCACUUUAAGCGAGGAGGAGGCUACCGAGAUUAAUACUCUUGGAUAGUGGACGUUACUCGCAGAAUAAGCACCGGCUAACUCUGUGCCAGCAGCCGCGGUAAUACAGAGGGUGCAAGCGUUAAUCGGAUUUACUGGGCGUAAAGCGCGCGUAGGUGGCCAAUUAAGUCAAAUGUGAAAUCCCCGAGCUUAACUUGGGAAUUGCAUUCGAUACUGGUUGGCUAGAGUAUGGGAGAGGAUGGUAGAAUUCCAGUGUAGCGGUGAAAUGCGUAGAGAUCUGGAGGAAUACCGAUGGCGAACGCAGCCAUCUGGGCCUAAUACUGACACUGAGGUGCGAAAGCAUGGGGAGCAAACAGGAUUAGAUACCCUGGUAGUCCAUGCCGUAAACGAUGUCUACUAGCCGUGGGGNUUUGAGGCUUUAGUGGCGCAGCUACGCGAUAAGUANACCGCCUGGGGAGUAC